rnacentral:rRNA from 1 species
ACCUUUGUACGGCCCUUCCUAAUACAUUGCAGUCGAGCGGACCGACGGGAGCUUGCUCCCUUAGGUCAGCGGCGGACGGGUGAGUAACACGUGGGUAACCUGCCUGUAAGACUGGGAUAACUCCGGGAAACCGGGGCUAAUACCGGAUGCUUGAUUGAACCGCAUGGUUCAAUCAUAAAAGGUGGCUUUUAGCUACCACUUACAGAUGGACCCGCGGCGCAUUAGCUAGUUGGUGAGGUAACGGCUCACCAAGGCGACGAUGCGUAGCCGACCUGAGAGGGUGAUCGGCCACACUGGGACUGAGACACGGCCCAGACUCCUACGGGAGGCAGCAGUAGGGAAUCUUCCGCAAUGGACGAAAGUCUGACGGAGCAACGCCGCGUGAGUGAUGAAGGUUUUCGGAUCGUAAAACUCUGUUGUUAGGGAAGAACAAGUACCGUUCGAAUAGGGCGGUACCUUGACGGUACCUAACCAGAAAGCCACGGCUAACUACGUGCCAGCAGCCGCGGUAAUACGUAGGUGGCAAGCGUUGUCCGGAAUUAUUGGGCGUAAAGCGCGCGCAGGCGGUUUCUUAAGUCUGAUGUGAAAGCCCCCGGCUCAACCGGGGAGGGUCAUUGGAAACUGGGGAACUUGAGUGCAGAAGAGGAGAGUGGAAUUCCACGUGUAGCGGUGAAAUGCGUAGAGAUGUGGAGGAACACCAGUGGCGAAGGCGACUCUCUGGUCUGUAACUGACGCUGAGGCGCGAAAGCGUGGGGAGCGAACAGGAUUAGAUACCCUGGUAGUCCACGCCGUAAACGAUGAGUGCUAAGUGUUAGAGGGUUUCCGCCCUUUAGUGCUGCAGCAAACGCAUUAAGCACUCCGCCUGGGGAGUACGGUCGCAAGACUGAAACUCAAAGGAAUUGACGGGGGCCCGCACAAGCGGUGGGAGCAUGUGGUUUUAAUUCGAAGCAACGCGAAGAACCUUUACAAGGUCUUGACAUCCUCUGACACCCUAGGAGAUAGUGCUUCCCCUUCGGGGGCAGAGUGACAGUGUGCAUGGUUGUCGUUCAGCUCGUGUCGUGAGAAUGUUUGGGUUAAGUCCCGCAACGAGCGCAACCCUGAAUCUAGCUGC